rnacentral:rRNA from 1 species
AUUGAACGCUGGCGGCAGGCCUAACACAUGCAAGUCGAGCGGAUGAAGGGAGCUUGCUCCUGGAUUCAGCGGCGGACGGGUGAGUAAUGCCUAGGAAUCUGCCUGGUAGUGGGGGAUAACGUCCGGAAACGGGCGCUAAUACCGCAUACGUCCUGAGGGAGAAAGUGGGGGAUCUUCGGACCUCACGCUAUCAGAUGAGCCUAGGUCGGAUUAGCUAGUUGGUGGGGUAAAGGCCUACCAAGGCGACGAUCCGUAACUGGUCUGAGAGGAUGAUCAGUCACACUGGAACUGAGACACGGUCCAGAAUACUACGGGAGGCAGCAGUGGGGAAUAUUGGACAAUGGGCGAAAGCCUGAUCCAGCCAUGCCGCGUGUGUGAAGAAGGUCUUCGGAUUGUAAAGCACUUUAAGUUGGGAGGAAGGGCAGUAAGUUAAUACCUUGCUGUUUUGACGUUACCAACAGAAUAAGCACCGGCUAACUUCGU